CUUUCUAAGUGGGAAGAAUGUGUAAAGGGAAGGGAGUGGGGGAGAAGGAGCAAAUGUGAAGGAAGGACAGGAUGGAAAGAAGCUUUACAACAACUUCACUCUGUGGGGUGUGGAGACAAAUGGCUGUAUGUCUUUGUGCUGUCCAUAUCUCAGGAGUAUCUGAGGAUCUGUUGAUCUUACAGUUUCUGUGCAUUUGCUGCAGAGCUUUUGUGGUGGAGCAGGACCUGCAAGGCAAGCUGAAAAAAAUGGAAAAGUAAGAUCAUUUUGUUACUUCUAAAACAGAAAUCAGAUGACAUUGUGCUGUUAAAAUGACUGGUUUUGUAUGAUGAUUGUGUAUUAUUGUAGGAUGUGAAUGUCCUCAGACUGGUGUGAGCACUGAGGAUGGAGAGCCACAGCAGAUCCUGGGAAUGGUUCAGUGUCAUGGACAAGAUUCUCCAUCACUCCUCCUGCCCUUACUGCCUCAUCUGGACUGAUGUUGAUGUGAUUUCUUCAUCCUCAGGAUGAUCCCGCUGGAGUAACCUGGAGUAAAGUGUCUGGAUCAAGGACACACUGGAGGAGACGCUGCAGAGAUCGAACCAGCAACCUUCUGCUGACCAGCUCAGUGGUUUAGACCACUAAACCACAACAGUAAUGAAGCUACAACAGAAAUUAGCAAGUAAUUGUAAAAAUAUGAAAUGAAGUAUGGCAAGAAACUGAAUGCUGACAUGAAUGAAGUGUAAAAUGUUUUAAUCUGCUGAAGGAGAGCACAUGAAUGUUUGCAGCAGCAGAUUGUCCCGCACAUCUUCUCGCACUCCUGCUUCAAGGUUGUGGGGUUCAGCGGUCCAUCAUCAUCAUGGUCUUCCUCAUCCUCUGGAUCAAUGAUGUCCCCAUUGAGAAGAGCAGCAGUGAGUGACAUGAUGAUGAAGGUGUUCAUCAGCUGCUUCAUCAGAAUAAAGCUGCAGAAUGGGCAAAGCAAUUCAUUCUGGGGUAAGUUUAAUUUUUUAGUAGUUUAUACUUCUCCAAAGGUGAGAUCUUUGAGCAGCUGCUGAUGUCUUCUUUGGCUUCAGACAUUGCUAACACUGAGGAAAACCGCUCUAGGUAGGGUUGUGGAGUCACUGGUGCUGUAAAACAAUCUGCCAAUGGGGUAAGCAAAAUAAUCUUAAUUCAAACCAAAAAUAAGAUCUAUAUAAUCUUGUUUUCAGUUUGGUUUAAGAUUGUUUUGCUUGUUCACUCAAUUUUGACUUAUUUUUCCUGAAAACAAGAACUUGUCAAGAAAAUGCUUCUUGAUUUAAGAAUGCUGUGCUGUGAUUGGCUGUAUUUACAUGUAAAAUGAGCGCUCUGAGAAAAGAUGAGAUGCAACACAGCGUUUUUAUUUUUUCCUCUCUGCCAUCACUGGUUAAAGCAACAUGACUAAUGUUAAUGUAGAUCUAAGGUACUUGCCUUUUACUGUCAACUCUUUCAUUAAAACAACUUUAUGACUAUUUAAAUCCUUGAACUUUAAUGAUUGUUGGCAGUUUAAUGUAACUGUAGCAGUGAAGAUUUAAUACAUUUACGUAAAAUUUGUUGUUUUUGUACUGCAUGUGAAAUUUUCUGACUCGAUUUUACAAAAAAAAAACAUCUGACACAAACCAUGUGAUUAAAACACAUUUGUGCGUAAAAGACCUAAAUCUUUCUGUGUCGAGAGGAGUAACACUCUGAGUUAAAAGUAACACAAAAUGUGUCAUCCUUAUCUAGACACACAGAUGUGUUGAGAAAUAAAAAGGUUGUGGUUUUCAACACUUCAGUGUUAAGAGUCAAAAAACACCCAGAUCAACUAACCCUAACCUCCGCAAAACUGUGUGUCGACAUGACGAGAAUCAGCGCAGAGUGUAUUUGAGCGAGUGUUUCGAGAACAGGAUUAAGACUACUUUAGUCGAAAAUACAACGGCUUUCUUCUUCCAUGAGAGAGUUUUCCAGGCGGACCAUCAAAGAAUGCAACACACGUCUCCUGGACUUCCUGUAGAAUUCAACCAAUCAGACGUCAAGUGUUUCCAGUGAAGUGUGUCAUAUGCAUCAGAAGUUCAGCCAGCGGUCUCUGGACGUGAUGUCUGAAGCUGAGACUACAUCUCAACCCGCGUACAAACCCACGUUCCUGGAAUCACUAAACCAGAACCGCCUGCUAUCAUCACGUCAUCAGUACAUCUUCAUAAACGCGUCUCAUUUCUCCAGUUCUUUCAGGUUCAGCGUUGACUGUGAGAGCUUCACUGACUGCGUUUACUGGCACUGUCCGAGCGCCAUCAGAACAACAUCAUGCUUGAUCACAUGGAUCCCAUCAUCAUUGGCGUAGUAACAGGAGGGGUUUUGAUCAUUGUUGUCACCCUUGCCAUCACCUUCUGCUGUGUCUGUAAAAAUAAAUCACUUCCGACACCUCCAAUACCUCCGAUACCAGUGUAACCCUCCCUUUCAUACAGCAGUAGACUACGCCUUAUUGGAUGAAAUGAAUGAAUUAUUUAUUUUUGUGUAUCUUAUUUUACAGAUUGUAAUGGGUUUGGUAAUAAUGCACUUGGGUUGUUUGUAAAUGUGCUUUAUAAAAAACCAAUGAGUAAAUGAAUGAUUUUACAAGACCAGCAGAUGUGUUUUAGCCCGUUAUUUUGUCUUUCAUUUUUAAUUUGUUCUUUCAAGUUGGUUUUUGUUGAGUGACAGUUUUACUUAAUUUAGUGUUUUGUUGUUGUUUCUUCCAUUAUAUUUAGUUUCAUUGUUUUAGAGUGUUUUCCCAGAUCAAGAAUUUUCAUAACCCUCAGAUUCAAAUCUUGUUUUUGUCUACUGAUUUUUCUUUCUUUGGAAAGACGUUUCAUCAGCUGAACAAUCAGUAUGUUGGUUUGUUGUUCCUCUUGUUAUCUUCCCUGUGAAUAUACAGCCUAGUGUUUCAGUCAGUCCUUGUCAGAUGUAAACUGCUGUGUUUGGACGCUCACCUCUCCUCUUCCCUGACACUACGCAACAGUAAUAAACCACAGAAGUAAUGAAACUGUCAGCUUUAUUGGUCUUCACAUCUUCUCCCACUCCUACUUCAAGGUUGUGGGGUUCAGGGGUCCAUCAUCAUCAUCUUCCUCAUCCUCUGGAUCAACGAUGUCUUCAUUGAGAAGAGCAGCAGUGAGGGGUGAAGGUGUUCAUCAGCUGCAGAACUGGCACAGCUGUGUGAGACGGCAGCAGGACUGUAAAUACCUGAUUGUUAGAUCAAUACAUUUGAAUAAAGCAGACUAACACUGAGGAAAACCGCUCUAGGGUUGUGGAGUCACUGGUGCUGUGAGGUGUUAGUGCACCUGUCGCUCAUACCUUUAUUAUUGCAAGACUUAUAAUUACAGUUGUAAGAAAAAGUAUGUGAACCACUUGCAGAAUCUGUGAAAAUGUGAAAAAUUUUAACAAAA